UGCAAAAGCAACACAGGCCUUUGAUAUCCACGUUCCUCUAAUCGGCGACGUGUGUCCGUCAUCAGCAGAGCAUGGCCAUUGUGGACUGGGUUUCUCAGCUGAAAGGCGAACACGGCAUCUGGAGAAUAGUGGAAUGUUCCCGUGGAGUGAGGCGGUAUUGAUCCAGCCCAUCGUCCCAUCUGAUUCCCUCAAACACCUCCAGCUGACCCCCUACCAACCAAUCGCCGCUUUCCAUUACCAUCUGGUAACAGGUGUAAGAAGGAAUAAGAGUGUUGUAUGUAAAACACAUUUUAUGUGAUUAGAACAAUAUCCAUCCAAUUACCAAUAUGGAGAACAGUUUGUUGAAUGUUAGUAGUGACCAUGCACAAAAUUUAUGUUGUGUAAACAAGACAUUAAGGAAAGCGGCAAGAAUGUUGGUGUAUGUCAAUAGAAAACACAGGUGUGCCAAUAAAAUGUAUCAGAUCCGUCACAA